AGGUUGCCCUGUGACUGUGGGCGGGACCCCUCUCUGACUCCCCUGUGAAAUAGAAUGCAGUGAGGGCUCGGGUGGGCACUCAGACGGUGGCAGGAAGGCCCUGCCGCUGCUGCAGCCUUGCCAUGCUGCCUGUGCCCUGCACAGGUACAGAAGCCGAGGACGUGCUCGGGGAGCUAGAGUAUGACAAGGUGCCAUACUCCUCCCUGCGGCGCACCCUGGACCAGCGCCGGGCCCUGGUCAUGCAGCUCUUCCAGGACCAUGGCUUCUUUCCGUCAGCCCAGGCCACAGCCGCCUUCCAGGCCCGCUAUGCAGACAUCUUCCCCUCCAAGGUUUGUCUGCAGUUGAAGAUCCGUGAGGUGCGCCAGAAGAUCAUGCAGGCUGCCACUCCCACGGAGCAGCCCCCUGGAGCUGAGGCUCCUCUCCCUGUACCGCCUCCCACUGGCACCGCUGCUGCCCCU
rnacentral:sRNA from 1 species